GGUGGUUCUUGGGUGACGUAUCCAGGAAUUGGGCUCCCUCUUCUCUGGUUCUGGUGCAUCACCUGACUACUGCA
rfam:Myotis davidii contig317439, whole genome shotgun sequence.